UAAAUCAUUUUCCAGAAAUCAUUUUUCGGAAAACAUUUUACUGGCAAACAAACGGACUUUAAGUCUAUAUUUAAUUUGUCUUAGCUUUAUUAGAUAUUUAUUAAAGUGUUUAAAUAUGUUUUAAUUUGUCAUAGUCGAAUUUAAUAUUGGAUUCAAUGUUUUCUAGGUGCAGCUGAAUACAUGAAUGACAAUUAAAGCUUGGUGCAUGCAUGGCUGGAUGCAACGAAUAGAAAGGUUCAUGCAUGGUCAGCUACAAUGUAUGGUGUGCUGGUUAUUGGCCUUCCCAAGUACCUAUUAGGCCAAAGAGUAGCUAUCCAUUAACUUUCUCAAGUUGGCCGAACAAAUUCCCAUGAUGCUUCAAUGAGUUCACACCAGCCGAUUUUCCCAUUCACAUUUGUUGUUCAUUCGGUUUUGAGCUUUCACAUUCAAGUGACCUUUCAAGUUGGAAAUCACACUUCAGGUUUCUGAAGAAUUGAUUAAUAAGUUUCAUCUACUUUACCUCCCAAAGGAGAGAUAGUUCACAUUGGGUAGAGAAGGUAACAUUCUGAACGUCUCUAGUCCACCUAGGCCUAAAGGUAAGCAAGGUAAGGUUUCUAUAUCCUUUAAACAACCUUAUUCGAUUCAUAGUAAAAACAUUACUUAUGACAUGGGUUUUGGAAAAGAACUAUACCUUGAUGUGGUCGAUUUUAAUGAUGGCAAGGAAAAUUUUCCUAAUGAUAAUUUUUGCAUCGACCAGUAUGUGGAUGAAGUGAGAUUCAAUCAUCAUGAAUAUAUUUCGAGCUUGUGUAAUAAAAUGUUGCUAUGCAAAGUGCUUAGUUCAUAUGAAUGUGAUGAUGGUGUGACAGAUCUGCCUUGUCGUAUAAAUUUUGCAUGUUUGCGUAAGUUUGAAUGAGUGAGACUUGAGUUUUAUGAUUGUUUGAAUGAUUGUUUGAUCACAUCUUCUUUGAUUAACAUGAGUGGGACAUUGGAAAGUAAGAAACUCAUGUUGCCUGUUGAAUUGAGUGACCAAGCUUGUGUGUUCAAACCUGAAAUUUGUUGUUUUAGGUCGAUAUGUGGGGAACUCAAGCAUCCUAAAUUUUGUGCGACCAAUUUAUGUUUGUUUGAUGCUUGGCCUUUGGCUAAGGAAACAAAAUUUAAAGAUUCUUUUUAUAACUUAAAAUCGAUCCUUGUUUAAUCUAUGUUGCUGGUUACUAAAUUCUUGAUUCAUCAUGAAAUGGUAAGAUACAUCGAUGAUAUUAAAAUAAGGUAAUUAAAGUUGCAUGCUGUUGAGACAGUGGCUAGUGACAUAGCUUUCGAAAGACCUUUUUAUUUUGCUUUGGUUAACUGUUAUUCUCUGUUUGUGGUUGACAAUUUUGUUGUAAAUGGAGGCAUGAAGAAUUGUUUACUAGAUGUGCUCUGCUUUGAAAAAUCUGUUGAUGAUGUUGGAUUGAUUCAGCAUAUAUAAACUUUGCACGUGUGUGCUACGGGUUAUUCACAUGAAAAACUUGAUUUGUUUGAUUAUGAUAGUUUUGUGGAGCCCUCAAAUUCUUGUGCAAAAUCCUCUUGCCUAAGCAUGUCUUCUCGGAUGAAAUGUGACAAGUUUGACUAUUUGAAUGGUUGUUUGCUCAUUUCUUCUUUGUUUCGCAUAUGUGAGUUGUUGAAGAAAGAAAGGCCUUUGCUGCUCUUAACCAUGAACGACCAAAAUCAUAUAUUCAAACCUGGUGCAGGUUUUCUUGAAUUAUUGCCAAGUAAAGGUCAACAUCAAAAUUUUGAAUUUGUAGGUUGUUCGAUGCUAAGCCUUAAGGGAUUCGAACAUGAUAUGUAUUCUUAUAACUUUAGUUUGUUUUGCUUUUCUACCCUGUUGUCCGUCGAGAAGAAUGUAAGUCAGUGAGAAAUGGUAAGAGAAAACUGUCUUUGAUCCCGAUGAAUAUUAUGCCAUAUCAUUGUACAAAA